rnacentral:rRNA from 1 species
CCUACGGGUGGCAGCAGUGAGGAAUAUUGGUCAAUGGACGAGAGUCUGAACCAGCCAAGUAGCGUGAAGGAUGACUGCCCUAUGGGUUGUAAACUUCUUUUAUAUGGGAAUAAAACGUUCCACGUGUGGGAUUUUGUAUGUACCAUAUGAAUAAGGAUCGGCUAACUCCGUGCCAGCAGCCGCGGUAAUACGGAGGAUCCGAGCGUUAUCCGGAUUUAUUGGGUUUAAAGGGAGCGUAGGUGGAUUGUUAAGUCAGUUGUGAAAGUUUGCGGCUCAACCGUAAAAUUGCAGUUGAAACUGGCAGUCUUGAGUACAGUAGAGGUGGGCGGAAGUCGGGGUGUAGCGGUGAAAUGCUUAGAUAUCACGAAGAACUCCGAUUGCGAAGGCAGUUCACUGGACUGCAACUGACACUGAGGCUCGAAAGUGUGGGUAUCAAACAGGAUUAGAUACCCGAGUAGUC